UACGUAGGGUGCAAGCGUUGUCCGGAAUUAUUGGGCGUAAAGAGCUCGUAGGCGGUCUGUCGCGUCGGACGUGAAAACCCAGGGCUCAACCCUGGGCCUGCGUUCGAUACGGGCAGACUAGAGUUCGGUAGGGGAGGACUGGAAUUCCUGGUGUAGCGGUGAAAUGCGCAGAUAUCAGGAGGAACACCGGUGGCGAAGGCGGGUCUCUGGGCCGAAACUGACGCUGAGGAACGAAAGCAUGGGGAGCGAACAGG
rnacentral:rRNA from 1 species